GAUGAAGAACGCAGCGAAAUGCGAUAAGUAAUGUGAAUUGCAGAAUUCAGUGAAUCAUCGAAUCUUUGAACGCACAUUGCGCCCGCCAGUAUUCUGGCGGGCAUGCCUGUUCGAGCGUCAUUACAACCCUCAGGCCCCCGGGCCUGGCGUUGGGGAUCGGCGGAGCCCCCCGUGGGCACACGCCGUCCCCCAAAUGCAGUGGCGGUCCCGCCGCAGCUUCCAUCGCGUAGUAACUAACACCUCGCGACUGGAGAGCGGCGCGGCCACGCCGUAAAACACCCAACUCUUCUGAAGUUGACCUCGAAUCAGGUAGGAAUACCCGCUGAACUUAAGCAUAUCAAUAAGCGGAGGA
rnacentral:misc_RNA from 1 species